CACGCUUAUCCCAGAUUUAGUACCACAAAAUAGACAUGCUGUUAUAAAAGUGUAUGUCUCGAGAAAAUGGAUUUUUCGUGGCGCAAUGGACAAUGGACCUAUACAUCACAUCGAUCUUGUGUUGAUAGACAAAGAGGGUAAUGGUAUAAGUGCUGAAAUCCCAGGAAAUCUAGCUGAAGAGAAAGGAUCUAUCAUCAAAGAAAAUGAAAUAUAUGAGAUCAGUAGAUUCACAAUAUCUUCAGCAAGACAAAUGUUCAAACCUGUUCAUAUAGACAAAAUGAUCCACUUCACAUAUCACACAAUUAUUAAGGCAUCACUUGAUUCUCCGUCAACAUUUCCUAGAUAUGUCUAUCAUCUGAC
rnacentral:misc_RNA from 1 species